GACGAACGCUGGCGGCGUGCCUAAUACAUGCAAGUCGAACGCUUCUUUCCUCCCGAGUGCUUGCACUCCAUUGGAAAGAGGAGUGGCGGACGGGUGAGUAACACGUGGGUAACCUACCCAUCAGAGGGGGAUAACACUUGGAAACAGGUGCUAAUACCGCAUAACAGUUUAUGCCGCAUGGCAUAAGAGUGAAAGGCGCUUUCGGGUGUCGCUGAUGGAUGGACCCGCGGUGCAUUAGCUAGUUGGGGAGGUAACGGCUCACCAAGGCCACGAUGCAUAGCCGACCUGAGAGGGUGAUCGGCCACACUGGGACUGAGACACGGCCCAGACUCCUACGGGAGGCAGCAGUAGGGAAUCUUCGGCAAUGGACGAAAGUCUGACCGAGCAACGCCGCGUGAGUGAAGAAGGUUUUCGGAUCGUAAAACUCUGUUGUUAGAGAAGAACAAGGACGUUAGUAACUGAACGUCCCCUGACGGUAUCUAACCAGAAAGCCACGGCUAACUACGUG
rnacentral:rRNA from 1 species